rnacentral:rRNA from 1 species
AGAGUUUGAUCCUGGCUCAGAGUGAACGCUGGCGGCAGGCCUAAUACAUGCAAGUCGAACGGCAGCACAGCAGAGCUUGCUCUGGUGGGUGGCGAGUGGCGGACGGGUGAGGAAUACGUGGGAAUCUGCCCAGUCGUGGGGGAUAACGUAGGGAAACUUACGCUAAUACCGCAUGCGCCCUUCGGGGGAAAGCCGGGGACCUUCGGGCCUGGCGCGAUUGGAUGAGCCCACGUCGGAUUAGCUAGUUGGCGGGGUAAAGGCCCACCAAGGCGACGAUCCGUAGCUGGUCUGAGAGGAUGAUCAGCCACACUGGAACUGAGACACGGUCCAGACUCCUACGGGAGGCAGCAGUAGGGAAGUAUUGGACAAUGGGCGCAAGCCUGAUCCAGCCAUGCCGCGUGAGUGAAGAAGGCCCUCGGGUUGUAAAGCUCUUUUGUCCGGAAAGAAAAGCGCCGGGUUAAUACCCUGGUGUCCUGACGGUACCGGAAGAAUAAGCACCGGCUAACUUCGUG